rnacentral:rRNA from 1 species
UGCUUGGGAUAUGCCUUUGCGAGGGGGAUAACAGUUGGAAACGACUGCUAAUACCGCAUAAUGUCUACGGACCAAAGGGGGCUUCGGCUCUCGCGUGAAGAGUGGCCCAAGUGAGAUUAGCUAGUUGGUGAGGUAAAGGCUCACCAAGGCGACGAUCUCUAGCCGUUCUGAGAGGAAGAUCAGCCACACUGGCACUGGAACACGGGCCAGACUCCUACGGGAGGCAGCAGUGAGGAAUAUUGCGCAAUGGGGGAAACCCUGACGCAGCGACGCCGCGUGAGUGAGGAAGGCCUUGGGUCG